UACAGGGGGGGCAAGCGUUGUUCGGAAUUACUGGGCGUAAAGGGCCAGUAGGCGGCCAACUAAGUCCGACGUGAAAUCCCCAGGCUUAACCUGGGAACUGCGUCGGAUACUGGAUGGCUUGAAUUCGGGAGAGGGAUGCGGAAUUCCAGGUGUAGCGGUGAAAUGCGUAGAUAUCUGGAGGAACACCGGUGGCGAAGGCGGCAUCCUGGACCGAUACUGGCGCUGAGGAGCGAAAGCCAGGGGAGCAAACGGG
rnacentral:rRNA from 1 species